CAGUCGACGCACUUUCGUUAUUGAUUUUGAGAUGCUUGCAUCGAAGAUGAUUUUAACUAUAAAGUGAGUGGCGAACGGGUGAGUAACACGUGGGUAACCUGCCCAGAAGUGGGGGAUAACACCUGGAAACAGAUGCUAAUACCGCAUAACAAAAUUAACCGCAUGGUUGAUUUUUAAAAGAUGGCUUCGGCUAUCACUUCUGGAUGGACCCGCGGCGUAUUAGCUAGUUGGUGAGAUAAAGGCUCACCAAGGCAGUGAUACGUAGCCGACCUGAGAGGGUAAUCGGCCACAUUGGGACUGAGACACGGCCCAGACUCCUACGGGAGGCAGCAGUAGGGAAUCUUCCACAAUGGACGCAAGUCUGAUGGAGCAACGCCGCGUGAGUGAUGAAGGCUUUCGGGUCGUAAAACUCUGUUGUUGGAGAAGAACGUGUGUGAGAGUAACUGCUCAUGCAGUGACGGUAUCCAACCAGAAAGCCACGGCUAACUACGUGCCAGCAGCCGCGGUAAUACGUAGGUGGCAAGCGUUAUCCGGAUUUAUUGGGCGUAAAGCGAGCGCAGGCGGUCUUUUAAGUCUAAUGUGAAAGCCUUCGGCUUAACCGAAGAAGUGCAUUGGAAACUGGGAGACUUGAGUGCAGAAGAGGAGAGUGGAACUCCAUGUGUAGCGGUGAAAUGCGUAGAUAUAUGGAAGAACAUCAGUGGCGAAUGCGGCUCUCUGGUCUGCAACUGACGCUGACGCUCGAAAGCAUGGGUAGCGAACAGGAUCUAGAUACCUGGUAGUCCAUGCUCGUAAACUGAUGACUGCUAAGUAGUCGUAGGGCUUUCGCCCUUCAGUGCUGCAGCUAACGCAUUAGCAUGCCGCCUGGGGGA
rnacentral:rRNA from 1 species